AAGUCGUAACAAGGUUUCCGUAGGUGAACCUGCGGAAGGAUCAUUAUCAUACGUAUACACGUAUAAACCAAUGUCGAACUCGUACAAGUCCGUUAGGUCUGGGUAUGGCUGCUCUGAGGUUGGAAUCAUUCAACAAAUAUAACUUUUGUUUGAGGUGAUCAAAGUACCUCAUUGCAGCUUUACAGAUACCGGUAUCUCUGAUUUCUGUAGCCCUCUCCUAGCACGCGUAUUUCCAUUCAAACUUUGAACAUCACCCAAUCUUAUAUCUGAACUAAACACGAUCCGCUUCGAAAGGAGCAUUGAUCGACAAUAUACGAAACUUAAGAACAACUCUUAACAACGGAUAUCUUGGCUCUC
rnacentral:misc_RNA from 1 species